rnacentral:lncRNA from 14 species
CAAAAGAAACCCAAAGCUGCUGGGGAUGCUCAAAGAAGUUCUGUAAGGGAACAGAGUGAAAUGCUGCAUAGAGCCACAACAAGAAAGCAAGACUUUGGAAAGCACAACAUUGGAAGAAGUAGAGAAAGCCUCAAGUAAAUGGCAAAAAUUCUGUAGCAAAGAUUCAAUUGAGAGGAGUCAUUUUCUGAACAGCAGUGGGAUAAUACAAAGAUAAUAGAACCUAAAUCAGGGAACCUUGGAAGCAGUUGCUGUGGGACAGUUGAAAUGGAAGUCAGUCUGAAGCUAUUUUACCGAGGUACAAAGAAAGAAAGAUGGGAGAUGCCACCGGACGAGGAGGAAGACAUAGAAUGAAAGACUAAGCAAUGAAGAGGAUGCUUGCCUCAAAUGUGACAUUUGGAAAAUGGUGGGUAUGGAGGAAGCAGGUAAGCUGUGCAAGGCUAAUAUGAGCACUACGUCAUUUGCUCGUGCUCCAUCC